CAUGGCUCUGGUUAGCACGUGGAUCUAGUUAGCAUCAGGUUAGCACGUGGAUCUGGUUAACACGUGGAUCUGGUUAGCACGUGGAUCCAAACAUUCAGCUGGAGUUGGAAUCUUUAAUAAAAACUUUAAUGGAAAUGUUUUAGAGACCAGUAGAGACUUCUCUAGGCCACUUUAUUAUGAUGGUAAUAAAUAACCUCAGAAUAAUUCAUGCAUGUGUAGCCGGUGGCACCUGAGGCGCUGCUAUUCUCCGCAAGGGUAUAAAGCAGGGUAGGAACAGAGAGGCUGUGUUUUUUGGUUCCCAGCUGGAAGGAGAGGGACGGUGCACACCCUCAUCCAUGCCGGCUGUUUUGUUUGUUUGCGUCUGGGAAAACUGUUGUCAUUUGGUUGCAACGUUUGGACACAUCAGGUGUGACUUCAGGGGCUGAUUGCCAAGUGAGUGUCUCUGGUGUGUAGCGGAGCUUGCGAUCACAAAGUCGCCGGGUGUUGUACUUGGCAGGGGUUGCUGGGAAGGUUUGGGCCCAGCACACCAGGUACGCAGAGCAAUAUGUAUUUUUUUGUCUAAUAAAGCUAUGGCCACUGUGUAAUUGAUGUUGAGGAUAUGGUUUUGUAUUAUGUUUAUUUUGGGAUUAGGGAAAUGUAUUAAGGUGACCAACUAAUACUUCUAUUUUCUUUGUUUUAGGGAGCCUGGCAGAUUUCCUCUGCUGCUCUUACUGUGUGGGUUUUGUUUGUUUUCUUUGGUGUUGAUUUUUGUUUCGGUAUUUUGUUUCUAGUCUGGCAUGAGCCGGUAUUUGAGGCAAAAGAUCUAUGGGGUUGCCUCGGUAGGCAGACUAGUUUAUUUUUUUGUUUUUCGUCUUGUUUGUUUUGUUUGUUUUAAUUGUCACCACUUCCCCAGCGCAGCGUCAGGGUGGACCAUCGGGGAGGGUCAAGGUAAUUUUGGUUGCGAGCUGACUUGCAGUGAUAUUGCAUGCUUAUACAUAGUGUGAUUAAGUUGCAGUGAUAUUGUGUGACAAGGAGUCUUUUUACUCCCUUACUGUAGAAGUGUGACACUGAAUUCCUCCUCAGUAAAGCAUCAAAAUACCUGCCCAAGCUAUACUUCCGCCCGUAAGACAUUGAAAUUUGCACCGAUUAUCUUAUGGCGACUCAUGAAUUUUAUGUUAGUUAAUUUAAUAAACCUUGUCAC